UACGAAGGGUGCAAGCGUUAAUCGGAAUUACUGGGCGUAAAGCGUGCGUAGGCGGCCUUGUAAGUCGGAUGUGAAAGCCCCGGGCUCAACCUGGGAAUGGCAUUCGAGACUGCGGGGCUGGAGUUUGGGAGAGGGAGGCGGAAUUCCCGGUGUAGCGGUGAAAUGCGUAGAGAUCUGGAGGAACAUCGGUGGCGAAGGCGGCCUCCUGGACUGGCACUGACGCUGAGGAGCGAAAGCCAGGGGAGCAAACGGG
rnacentral:rRNA from 1 species